rnacentral:rRNA from 1 species
UACGUAGGGUCCAAGCGUUGUCCGGAUUUAUUGGGCGUAAAGAGCUCGUAGGCGGUUCAGUAAGUCAGAUGUGAAAACUCAGGGCUCAACCCGGAGACGCCAUCUGAUACUGCUGUGACUUGAGUCUGGUAGGGGAUCACGGAAUUCCUGGUGUAGCGGUGAAAUGCGCAGAUAUCAGGAGGAACACCGAUGGCGAAGGCAGUGAUCUGGGCCAGUACUGACGCUGAGGAGCGAAAGCGUGGGUAGCAAACAGG